AUUGAACGCUGGCGGCAUGCCUUACACAUGCAAGUCGAACGGUAACAGGUCUUCGGAUGCUGACGAGUGGCGAACGGGUGAGUAAUACAUCGGAACGUGCCUAGUAGUGGGGGAUAACUACUCGAAAGAGUGGCUAAUACCGCAUGAGAUCUACGGAUGAAAGCAGGGGAUCGCAAGACCUUGUGCUACUAGAGCGGCCGAUGGCAGAUUAGGUAGUUGGUGGGAUAAAAGCUUACUAAGCCGACGAUCUUCAGCUGGUCUGAGAGGACGAUCGGCCAAACUGGGACUGAGACACGGCCCAGACUCCUACGGGAGGCAGCAGUGGGGAAUUUUGGACAAUGGGCGCAAGCCUGAUCCAGCCAUUCCGCGUGCAGGAUGAAGGCCUUCGGGUUGUAAACUGCUCCUGUACGGAACGAAAAGCCCUGGGUUAAUACCCUGGGGUCAUGACGGUACCGUAAGAAUAAGCACCGGCUAACUACGUGCCAGCAGCCGCCGUAA
rnacentral:rRNA from 1 species